rnacentral:rRNA from 1 species
AGUGAACGCUGGCGGUAGGCCUAACACAUGCAAGUCGAACGGCAGCACAGUAAGAGCUUGCUCUUACGGGUGGCGAGUGGCGGACGGGUGAGGAAUACAUCGGAAUCUACUUUUUCGUGGGGGAUAACGUAGGGAAACUUACGCUAAUACCGUAUACGACCUACGGGUGAAAGCAGGGGAUCUUCGGACCUUGCGCGAUUGAAUGAGCCGAUGUCGGAUUAGCUGGUUGGCGGGGUAAAGGCCCACCAAGGCGACGAUCCGUAGCUGGUCUGAGAGGAUGAUCAGCCACACUGGAACUGAGACACGGUCCAGACUCCUACGGGAGGCAGCAGUGGGGAAUAUUGGACAAUGGGCGCAAGCCUGAUCCAGCCAUACCGCGUGGGUGAAGAAGGCCUUCGGGUUGUAAAGCCCUUUUGUUGGGAAAGAAAAGCAGCAGGUUAAUACCCCGCUGUUCUGACGGUACCCAAAGAAUAAGCACCGGCUAACUUCGUG